rfam:Sorex araneus cont1.491473, whole genome shotgun sequence.
AGGUUGUUUCAGCAAACAAACUGAUUUGUUUGCUUAGUAGGUAACUGGGCUGCCAGUCUGGCUCUCUGCAUUGGCAAUAAAUCACCACUAGAUGCUUUAUUUUAAAAAUUGGCACUGGCUUGAGGGGUGGUGAGGGAUUGUCAAUUUGCUCUUAUUUUGAGGCCAGGUACAAUUAUCAUGCACACAUGCCACCUGGAAAC